rnacentral:rRNA from 1 species
UACGAAGGGGGCUAGCGUUGCUCGGAAUCACUGGGCGUAAAGCGCACGUAGGCGGCUUGUUAAGUCAGGGGUGAAAUCCUGGAGCUCAACUCCAGAACUGCCUUUGAUACUGGCAAGCUUGGAGUCCGGGAGAGGUGAGUGGAACUGCGAGUGUAGAGGUGAAAUUCGUAGAUAUUGGGAGGAACACCAGUGGCGAAGGCGGCUCACUGGACCGGAACUGACGCUGAGGCGCGAAAGCGUGGGGGAGCAAACAGG